CCUACGGGGGGCAGCAGUGGGGAAUAUUGCACAAUGGGCGCAAGCCUGAUGCAGCCAUGCCGCGUGUGUGAAGAAGGCCUUCGGGUUGUAAAGCACUUUCAGCGGGGAGGAAGGCGUUAAGGUUAAUGACCUUGGCGAUUGACGUUACCCGCAGAAGGAGCACCGGCUAACUCCGUGCCAGCAGCCGCGGUAAUACGGAGGGUGCAAGCGUUAAUCGGAAUUACUGGGCGUAAAGCGCACGCAGGCGGUCUGUCAAGUCGGAUGUGAAAUCCCCGGGCUCAACCUGGGAACUGCAUUCGAAACUGGCAGGCUAGAGUCUUGUAGAGGGGGGUAGAAUUCCAGGUGUAGCGGUGAAAUGCGUAGAGAUCUGGAGGAAUACCGGUGGCGAAGGCGGCCCCCUGGACAAAGACUGACGCUCAGGUGCGAAAGCGUGGGGAGCAAACAGGAUUAGAUACCCGGGUAGUC
rnacentral:rRNA from 1 species